UCGAUCGGUUGUGUAAUCUGAAAAUGUGUUGUUUCGUUUAAUAUAUAUGUAUGUACAUAUUAAAUAUCGGUGCUUCGCGCGUUCUUUCAACUUAACAAUUGUUGGUGCAGCAACAAAUUGGCGCUCAAUUGAAAAUAACACGCAUGCAGUGAGAGAGAGAAACUAUGAAAGAGAACAAGAAAGAAGGAGAGUGAAAAAAAGUAUUACUUGAACAGAAUAAUAAGGAGAGUUCUUUAACAAGAAGCUUCCCGUAAAAAGUAGAACUCGAUGCACAAAUCUUACUUUAAGAGAGAGACAAAACAAACUAAGUAUCCAGCUUAUUUAUACGCCUCCUAUCAAAGCCGCAAGGUAAGGCCAUUAAAAAUUGCAAUGGAAAAACAGAUGCGUUUCAGUGUAAACAAUAACAAAAUUUUGGCAUUGGAAAUGGCUGGAAACGUGCUUUGGCAUUUGUUUGUUAUUGUUGUUGUUGUUGCUGCUGAACAGCCUUCACUAAUAAACCGUUAUGCAAUGUGCCAAAGCAGAUAACAAAGCAGAAAGAGCAAUACAACAGCAACAACAACAACAACAACAGCUGCAAACUGUAAUUGAAGCUUUGGCUGGAAAUUAAUGGAAGCCGAGUCGCAUUUGGACUUUGGAGCCGACUCGAAGUGAGAGUGGGAAAUCUGAAGUGAAUUAACGGUUAACGAAUUAACUCUUAAAUAGUACAUUUUGUAUAACGAAAAACCGGAAAACUUUUUGGGAUUCAGCGUUAUUUAUGUGGCAUAACUGAAGGAUUCUGGAUGAUUUACAAAAGUAACAGUAAAUUGCUCAUCAAGAUCAGUUCGAAACGCCUCGCGAUCAGUUCAAUUAGCUAGGGUACUCUCCGCAGCCGGGACUCGGACAAUCCAUACACUCGACGAUCUUAUGAGAGUGAACCGAGUGUUGUUGUUGUUGUUGGAACUGACAUUGACAUGAUCCACAACGGCUGUCAUAAAUCUCACCUACCUUGGCUGGCACUUGAUGGGAUUGUUCCCGGAAUCGUUCGGUGGCUUACGUUUGGCGUUCGGUUCUUGCUGUUGGUGGUCAAAAGGAUCUCGAGAUGAAGGAAAAAAAGUGCAAAUCACUUCAUUAAAGCAUUGCAUACGCGACGACCCCCGCAGCUGCCCCCACGUUGCGUAGUUGCGCCGACGUCGCGACGUCUCCGAUUUGCAACUUUGUUGCGCAAGGCUCCAUACGGGAGGCUGCACAUCAUUUGGCUUAAUGGAUCCGCGGCAACAACAAUGACAACAACAAACGGCAAACAGCUUUGCCUGUUUGCUCUGACCCGCAAAAAGUUCGGUAUUGGUGGAUCGCGGCAUCGCCAAUCGUUGACUGUGCGCGGUUCGAACCAUCAAAACGAACGAGCAACAACAACAAGAAAAAACAACGAAAGAGUUAUAGUCGAAAGUGCUGGACUUGAAACUACCCUGUGCCCAAGUCAUUCGAAUAGAAAGGCGAUAUUUAAAAGCUAAAGAGAAACAAUGAGGGAGGCUCGGAAAGAGUGAUAAAUUAAUCCUCAUUCGAAUAAUAAAAAAUAUAUUGCCAAUGGAAAAUCAAGAACAUAUCAACUCGUGAACUCAUGCUAAUCGGAAAAAGACUGCCAAAUUAAGGACUACAAGGACCUCUAAGGACCUCUACGAGGGACACAGCAGAUUUUUUCAGGAUCGGACUUAAAUUAAGCCAUAUGUAGUUAU
rnacentral:sRNA from 1 species